CAGCAGCCACGGUAAAACGUAGGUGGCAAGCGUUGUCCGGAAUUAUUGGGCGUAAAGGGCUCGCAGGCGGUUUCUUAAGUCUGAUGUGAAAGCCCCCAGCUCAACCGGGGAGGGUCAUUGGAAACUGGGAAACUUGAGUGCAGAAGAGGAGAGUGGAAUUCCACGUGUAGCGGUGAAAUGCGUAGAGAUGUGGAGGAACACCAGUGGCGAAGGCGACUCUCUGGUCUGUAACUGACGCUGAGGAGCGAAAGCGUGGGGAGCGAACAGGAUUAGAUACCCGAGUAGUCCCUGUCUCUUAUAC
rnacentral:rRNA from 1 species